ensembl:snoRNA
UAUAAAUUACUAUUUAAAACAAUUACUUUUGCUGUGGACAUGACCAUAAAAAAAUUUCCCACUAGGUUUUCUGUCUGCUACCUUGUUAGCAAUCAACCUGUUGGGAACAUUA